AUGAACGCUGGCGGCGUGCCUAAUACAUGCAAGUCGAGCGAACAGACGAGGAGCUUGCUCCUCUGACGUUAGCGGCGGACGGGUGAGUAACACGUGGAUAACCUACCUAUAAGACUGGGAUAACUUCGGGAAACCGGAGCUAAUACCGGAUAAUAUAUUAAACCGCAUGGUUCAAUAGUGAAAGACGGUUUUGCUGUCACUUAUAGAUGGAUCCGCGCCGCAUUAGCUAGUUGGUAAGGUAACGGCUUACCAAGGCAACGAUGCGUAGCCGACCUGAGAGGGUGAUCGGCCACACUGGAACUGAGACACGGUCCAGACUCCUACGGGAGGCAGCAGUAGGGAAUCUUCCGCAAUGGGCGAAAGCCUGACGGAGCAACGCCGCGUGAGUGAUGAAGGUCUUCGGAUCGUAAAACUCUGUUAUUAGGGAAGAACAAAUGUGUAAGUAACUAUGCACGUCUUGACGGUACCUAAUCAGAAAGCCACGGCUAACUACGUG
rnacentral:rRNA from 1 species